CAGCAGCCGCGGGAAUACGUAGGUGGCAAGCGUCGUCCGGAAUUAUUGGGCGUAAAGGGCUCGCAGGCGGUUUCUUAAGUCUGAUGUGAAAGCCCCCGGCUCAACCGGGGAGGGUCAUUGGAAACUGGGAAACUUGAGUGCAAAAGAGGAGAGUGGAAUUCCACGUGUAGCGGUGAAAUGCGUAGAGAUGUGGAGGAACACCAGUGGCGAAGGCGACUCUCUGGUCUGUAACUGACGCUGAGGAGCGAAAGCGUGGGGAGCGAACAGGAUUAGAUACCCGUGUAGUCCCUGUCUCUUAUAC
rnacentral:rRNA from 1 species